rnacentral:lncRNA from 1 species
UCGGCAGCGUCGGAGAGCAGCCUUUGGAGCCCUUUGUCACGGACGCACAGCAGCACGUUCUCGGGUUUGAGGUCUGCGUGGAUGAUCCAGCAGCGCCUGUGCAGGAAGUGCAGCCCUGCCAGCACCUGCGGGAGCAUCACAGCACCUCAGUCAUAGGGAAGUUCAUGGCAGAUGACCCCGGGAUGAAGACAAUGACUUGUCGCCCAGCCAACACUCCCGUGGUGCCCUCACCCAGUUAGAGCUCAGUUCUCACCUGCUGUAAAGAUUUUUUCACGAAAGGCAAAGGCAGUCCCUGAGCUGCAUAGUUACACAUCAGACAUCGCAGGGAAGGACCCAGGGCCUCAAAUACCAAGCACGUAUGUGGGAGAGAGUCAUGGAUUUACCGGCAGAGAGAAGGUGCUACUACCAGCCUUUUACCUUUCACCAGAGCAGCCAAAUAUCUCCUUAGUCAACCUCCCCCCUCCAGCCACCUUCACGUGCCCUGGUUUUACACCAUGCUGUGGCUCUCCAGCGCAAGCCCAAGCUUUGCUGACCCAGCAUCGCUCCCAGCAGAAGGAUAUGAAAGCCGUUCUCUCCGAUCAUUCUGAAGUCAUCUAACAAACAGACAAUGUUUUCUCCUGCCCGGUCCUUCCUCUUCAUGCUGCUCACCUGAGGGGGAGAAUUCCAAGAAAGCUGCAAUUAGAGACGUAUAUGUGAAUAAGGACACCUUGCACCCAUUUUGUCCUGUUCUACAGCCUCUCUCCUCCAGGGGUUGACACUUCAUGAGAAACCCCAUGAAAACAAUAUCAAGCAAACCAGGCUCCGAGCACACGAGCUGAGUCUGUUACCACAGAACAGAUUUCUGUAUGUUGCCUUCCCCUGGACCAGCUGUAACCAUGGGCGAUCAGGGUUUGGUUUUUGUGCAGCUGCUGGAUCUGUUUGCACCAGCACCAGGAGGUGUGUGGAAGGCGGGGGGACCGGACCGCCUCUUCUGGCAGCGCUGUGGGCACGGACCCCUGUGCUGGUGGAGGUGGCCCUGGGAACCAGCUACGUUCUGGUGAAUGGAAGGCGUGUCUUUUGGAGAGAGCCCAGCUCCUCAGGCUGAGACUUGGAAGAAGAAGGGACGAUGAGGCUGAUACUCUGAACUCAGCGGCCAUCCCCACGGAGCAAAGCACAGAGGCUGUGAAUAUUACAUACGCAUCGGAGGAGAGAGACCUCGUCCUGGGCAGCCUCAGCAAAGCCCUCCCUGCUCUUCAGGACCUUCACAGCUACGUUCUUCUUCUUCCUACAAAACGAACCAUGUCUGUAAGGCAGUGCACGCCAGGGUGGCCUGCGAAAGGGACAAGCCCUGCCCAGGAGAGUGGCCGUCCCUCCCCAGACGGCGGCCAGCCCCUCACCUCGUGUCCUGGCACAGCCAGACGGUGGCAAAGGCCCCGCAGCCCAGCUCGCGCAGAGCCUGGUAUCGCGUGUUGAACACCUCUCCUUCCCGCACCGGGUGGUGGCCUCCUGUGGGGAACGCGGCCAGGAGCCAUUACUGAUAGCCUUAAACGCCCUCAGACUGAAAGGGCAGCUGAGGACAGCGUCCUCCCAGAGGGACAGACAGACAGACGGGUCCCUGUGACCCGUGAAGAGCCCGGCACGAUGUCGGCUGCGGUGCGAGGACUGACCUGUGCGCUGCGCCGCCGGCACCUCCUCCUGCACCCGCACCUCCAUGGCGCCGUCCCGGCAGGUCCUGGCAAGAGGGGACAGAGGCGGUGGGGAACCAGGCCGUGCAGCACCGGCGGUGCGACCUCCUGCAGGUUAGUCCUUUAAAGAGAGUUAGAGGCAGGGCAGCUGCACACGUUGAUCUGCACACCUCCCGUUCGCUCUUCUAGCCCUGCUCUCCCCGUUUCCAUCUGCCUCAUCCAAACCUGGAACUGGGCUGUUGGGAACAUUUUGGGAGCUUCAGCGAGGUAGGGAUUAUUUUUGGAUUAUUUUAGGAGU